GGUCGUUAGCGAAAUCCAAAGCGAUGGAGUAGGUCUCAUUCCUCAUUGCAGAUAUUGCGCUCCCAUCUCGUGUGCGGCGGCUGCUGCUUAUUCCGACGACGCGUCAAUGGAGGAGAACGGGACGGAGUUCCUGCUCGAUCUAGUUGACCAAUCUGGCGCCCCUGGUGUUGUUGCCACCGCGAGAUGCCGAGACGGAGGCGCCAAAUGAUUUGAUUUGCGCGUCCGGCUGUGCGCAAGAAGUAGGUGGCCGCAAUCCGGCGAGGCAUGAAUGGCGAGGUCCGGCGAAGGAAGAUUGCUUCCCGACUCAAUCCCUGAAGCGCCAGGUUGGACCAAGAGGUGACGCCCUCUCUGUUGUGAUUACGACCGGCGGCUGGAGCGACGGAGGGACGGCGGAGCGAACAGGGAGUUCGGUGGCGAAACCAACCGGAAGGACGAGCGCCCUACCCGGCCGAGCCACCCUGCCUCAAUACAGAUGCUGCUACGGAGCUCGGGCUGAAACCCCGCCUCACGCCAGCAAAAAGGAAGCAUCCGGCUACGAGCCUCGGAUCGAUGCCCCUCCUAUCUAUCCACGUGCUGGCGUGUGACCUCGCCGAGGAUGGCCUUCUCCCGGUAAGGUACUUCCUUCCUACUCUUAUUUUCAUCUCUAUAUCUUGGUUAAGGCAAAUAACGUGGAUGCACUUGGUUCUUGGUUAAUUUAGAUUGAUAAGAGGGCAUUUGAAUUGAAGCUGAUAAAUGUAAUGUACUUAAAUUGAAGUCUAUGAAUGCUAUUCUCACAAUCUACUAGAGCAAAUCAAACGAAGAGAAAGAUGGAAAAACAAACAUCUCAAAAUGAAAUCUUGGUUGGGCACAAGCUUAGGUAUCUUGGGUGUUUGCCACAUGUUUCUGUUUUGAAACUUUUUGACCCUGGCUUGAGUCAUGUAUGGAACCCUGAGGAGUUGUCUUUGUGAUCCGAUCUGUACAAUCUUGCAAACAUGUUGACUGAAGUGACUCUAAUAUAUGCAACUAGUGGCUACUUCCUUGAAAGUUGUACUUCCUCAAAUAGUCGUUUUGGAGGACGACUCUCUCGGGUCUCGGUAUCACCCUCGUUUGUUUCCCUUUGGAUUCCCACCGCGCCUUUAUUACUCCUUGUAUUCUCGCUUUAGAAGCCACCAUCCUGUUGCGUAUAAGGUUGGCGUAUAUCACAGCAUGGCCCACAUUUGCUAUGCCGGCUGUUCGUACUUGGCACUCCUCCAAACAAAUCGUGCACCAUGAGUUGGUAGGUGUUGAGCAGCUACAUGUGCCAUGCACAUGAAUCUUCCAUUACGUCCCAUUAAAAACAUAUUUGACAAAACCAAAACAUUACUACUUUUUUAUGUAAACAGCAGUGAUCAAAGCAUGCUAAUUAAUUAUUUUCCAUUUAGCAUGGCCCCUGGUUAAAAGUCGAGGUAAAUUUUGGAAAAUCAACGUAAGCAGCCGGAUUCAAAGUUUAACCCGUCAUUCAGUACAGGAGCCGCACACACAUUCAGUACCUAGCUAGAAUAUAAUUAGUUAUUUUUUUAAAAGUGACAUUAUAGUUAGGUCUUUUUUUCGAAACAGAAUAUUGUUAGUUCUAAUUAGUUCAGUUUGUUUAGGGUUAAAAAAAGGGAUCAUCACUUAACCAUCAUCGCCACCUGUACGAGACCCGGCACAUAUUCUCCAUCGGGUUCCUGCAUCACCAUGAAAAGAAAUCCCGCGACUGGUUUUUGAAUAUUUCACUGGCACGACGCAGUGGAUUAGCUGAUCAUUCAUUGUGAUGUGGGGGUAGUUGGGGAGGAAAGCUCGGGCAUGUCAUGUCAUUAAACUAGUUGAGCACUGUUUGUGUUCCUUCGCUUCACCCGAACCCUGUACCUCACAUUAAAUCUGACACGUUCUGUUCCGGUCUGAUGCAUAACAAAGCCUGGACUGUUUGUAAAGCCAGCGUGGACAACGGCACGGGAAUCACGAUCCUUAUACGAGCGGGUGAGAGAACGUCCUACGAGGUGCCCGUCCGCUGAAAAUGCGCUCUGGUACUUCCUUCGCUUUGUUUAGCUAUCCCCAUAACAUUGUCUUGACAAAUAGUUCUGAACCAUGUGUUUUACCUAUUUUUUUACUGAAGGAUGAUAUAGUCUACAGAUGGUGUACUAUUGUUCCUUGGUAGCCUGUAGGUCCUUUUCUAAAUAUGUUUUCUUCAAAGUGAAAGUAUUUUCUUUAUGAUGCUUCUGUUUUCGUAUACUUCAGAGAAGUUUCCAUAUGUAAAUAUGUAACUGCAUGCAUGUAGUGAAGAUAACAGUAUCAUUUUCUGGAGGACAAGCCCAUAAUGGACAUUGCAUCUUCAGAUACAAUAAAGAUACUCCCAUUCCCGGUGUUUUGUGCAUAAAUCUUUUUUUAGUUGCCGUAUUGAUAUGAUAUAGUAAUACCCAAUAAUUUGAAUGCAAUAAUGAACUAACUGAAAUUUUAUUAUUUUUUCUGAUAGACCAUAUGAAUGUACUCCCUCUGUAACAAGAUAUAGGGCUUUUUUUGUUUUACAUACAAUUGUUAGAAAUGGUUUACAUUUUGUUUCAGAGGGAAUAUGUUUGAUUUUAUUACCGCAUAUCUUUUUGGGUGAAAAUUUAAGGUGGUUAGUUGCAGAACCUCAUUUGAGCUUUACUUCUGUUUGCGCAAUGACAUUAGGAAUUAACUGCUUGCUCUGCAUAUUCUGCUGGUGUAGUUUACAUAUUGUUUCUGCACUCAUCAUUUUUCCGUGUGUUAUCUAUACACAGUUGAACAUUAGACGUCUUGGGUGACAAAAUGGUUGUACAAAUUGAUUCCUUCCGUUGCACAAGUUAACUCAAACCAUGAUAUGUUUUUUUUUUUUUUGCGGGAAAACCCAUGAUAUCUUUGCAGUGUCUUCAGAUUGUUUUUCUAUAUACUUGUUUUUCAUCUGCCUGACACUUGUACACCAAAAUUCAGUAGUUUGUUGUGCAGAAAAAUUGUCAGCACAACGGUAUUGAAGCCAUGAUAAUAGCUCAAGAGAUGUGGAUUGAGAUCUUUAUGUUUUUAUUAGAGGAGCUAUUUUCCCUUUUUGCUUUUAUGUUUUUUGGACUGGAAGAUUAUGUUGGGGCUGUGUACAAUUGUGUUCUGUAUUAACAUGAAGGUUAAAUUAUUUUUUUCA